CAGCUGACCACUUGAACCAAUUCAAGUUUCACAUGUAUAAGAUUAUUUAUCCAUUUAGUUCAUGAGUAAGAAAGGAGUACAUUGUAUAUGCUUUUUGGAAUAUUUAAAAGAGAGUUAUACCUCACAGGAAAUCGAUUGAUAAACCGCUGAAGUACGCACAGAUUGCCAAAGAAGCUUCUGAAGUUCCAAGGAUGGAGGAUUUCCGAGAAAAAUUCGACAUGAUUCUAGUGGUAAGGAAACAGCAUACAGCUUUGUAACAGGAUUCAGAGAUCAUUUUCUUAGUGAAAGGCGUUUUCAUGAUCACUAUAAUCGUUGUCAUAAAACCACAGAGUAUGUAUGGUCUCAUUGGAAAUGUUAGUAAACAUUACAGUUGGUAAUGGUUCCCGGAAUGAAAAAUAAAAAUAAUUCAAUAAAUAAUGAAUGCACUGGUGUCCGAUAUACUAGGUGUACCAUGAACAUAAAAAUUACUUUGAUGUAUAAGGCCUGAACUCACGGUGCAAGCAAUCAUGGAUCGUAGUUGAAGUGAAUUCAAAAGUGAUUUAAACUGUCAACGAUGAGUUCACCGGAGAAAAAAAUAAAACAGCAGAUUGCAAAUACCCUCCCUCCAAGUUUGAAAAACCAAACCUUUGUUAAGAGUUGAAAUGCAAUAACAAACGGACAAUAUUUACCUUUUAAACUCUUUGACAAACACUAUACAUAUACUCGUCCAGUCCAGUCAAUUAUUUUCAAAAAUAUAUACCUCAUGGUCGUGUUUAACUUCGAAAUAUUUCGGAACAUCGUCCUUGUGUUAGAAUUUCGUACCCAUGACCAGCCCGUGUGAUCAAUAUCAUAUACUUUGUGGGAUAUCAAAUAAUGCGCUGUUGGCAACCACUAUG